rnacentral:lncRNA from 1 species
CUCAAACAGUCCUGUGACUCCUCACAAAGACUCCCCUGGCCAAUGUUUUGCUAAAUUGAAACACGACUGUACACAGCUCCUAAACUGGAGUGGUCAAUCCCAUCUUGACACAUGCACCGACAAGUCAAGUACUUGACUACACCCAGCAGCCUUCCGUCACUGAAUUAGAAAUUCAGGUAGUCCAGUGCCUAAGUGUAGUGAGUUGCUUGCAAGUCACCGUGGCGGUCUCAGGUCGGAGGGAUAUUUAUACCCAUAU